GAAGCAUAUCUCUCCUUGAUGUUGCCCUGCGCCAUUUAGCAGUUUACAUUGGAAUGAAUGGGCGCCAUUUUGGAAUCCGGUGUCCAUUCUAUAAUAUGUCCAUGGGUAUAUGCACAGAAUGCACAGCAGUGCAAUGUCCCUUCCGUUGCAAUGUCCCUCAGCCGCAACACUCCCAGCGACCGAGUUGACACAAAACCGUACCAGACCUAACUCAGCACUAAUAAAACAAAAAACCCAAAAACCUGCAUGCAACCGCCUUCCUUCGCCUUGCAUACCGCCGGGAUCCUUCACUAUCUUCCGCUCACCCCUUCCCGCUCGUUCUCUCUCCUGCCUCUUUCCUUUACCGUGCCCGUCAUGUGUCUUAAAGGCGCAGUCUAAUUGUACCCGUUACACUAUAAUUAUACCUGUCCUUCACUUUAUAAUGUUACACCGUGACUUCCCAUUAUCUUAUCUUCAGAAUCUCCCACAAUUUUCCUCUUCUACGCCUCCAGAUAUUUUGUGGCAGUCAGUGAGUCCCAAAAAUCUCAGUUCUGGCAAACUUCAAGAAGAGGGUGGCUAAACGCGAACCAAAAUUCAAGGACAACGAGCCCAAAAUUUGGAUUUUUCCAGUCACAGAGCAUCACCUACUUAAUCCUGCAUCUGGUGCCUGGAGAAACAGUAAACCAAAUGUUUCGGAAGCAUCUGAAGACCUUGUGUGGUUCUUGCGGAUCACAUCAUUGUGCUUUGAAGACGCUGCCCAGUGUCUUUAUCUUCCGUCUGAACCGGAUUGGUGAAGACGAAAAGGGCGCGCGAGUGAAGUUGAAUCAUCCUGUGGUUCUUUGCAGAGAACUGGAUCUUUCCGGUUUCCUGCCUGCCACACAGUUUCAGGAGACAUUCCGGUACAAGCUGGUGAGUGUCAUCAGCCAUGUCGGGUCAAGAACUGACGAGGGUCAUUUUGUAAGUGAAAGACUUCUGAUGGCGGCAGGCGUCACUUGAGACGGCUGGCUCACCUACAAUGACGAAAUUGUGAAAAUGUCUGACGACUCUGAAGAUCUACAGCGGCCACAGUCUGCAUCCAUCCUCUUCUACGAACGCCAGGUGGAUCCGGCCGUUCCUCACAAGGGAAGCAGCCCAGCUCAUCUCCCGCCUCGACUACGGCAACUCGCCCCAAAGAAUUUAGUGUCAAACACUAAAUUCAUUUCCUGCAUUCUGGUGAAUUUGUAUUCCAACCAUUUGUGCCUUUUCGGAAUUAAGUUAUGGCGGAAAUUUCUUAACUAUGAAUAGGAAGGCUUUGCCUUCUCUGUGUGUGUCACUAUACAUACUAUGGUUUAUUACAAUGCUUUUGUGUUUACACAAUUACAACAGAGGUAAGACAAGACCAUGAAUAUGGCCAUGACUUCCAAUGCAGGACAUGUUAUACACAAUAAUAUACACAUGAGCGAGUCAGCCUGAUGCACCAGCUGUGCAUCACAUAGCUUUCUAACACAGUGAUAACUGUUAUAGAAGGCUACAUGCCCUAAUAAGUGAUCUGACAUUUUAAUAUCAAUCAAGCCUACUACGAUGUGCUACAAUUUAAAGUUACAACAUUCAACACACAAACGUUGCUGUUAUUGUGAUUGUUUUGACCGCGGAUAACGGCUUAAUUAGCCUACGGUGUAAUUCUCCAUGUCACUCAUCUACAGCUCAUCUCAAGGUAGCGGCAAAUUUCAUUACAAUGAAAUGGGAUGUCAAUUACUUUAGUCUAUGCCUUUUCUGAUGACAUGUUUCAAGCUAACAGUUAUGAAUGGUUUCUUCUCCACAUAAUGGACACACCAUAUAAGGUUUAAUGAGUUUGUACUUUGUAGAUGGGUUAAGGACUACAAAUAUGGCCACUUUGCCAUUUCCGCUAAAGCAAUGACAGACAAAGGUUUACCGAACAUAUAGGCGUGGCUUAUUUCAAAGUCUGCCCACUUCCAAUAUAAACUUUUCUUACAUGUGUUCAAGAGAUGCUUCAUGAACCACCUCCAGAACAUAAGCUUGUUUACCUUGUCUCUGUGGUAAAAAAACACUUGUUGAA